AGCCAUGAUAUCAAUCCUUCUCAGUCACUAAAUGAGUGUGACAACACCUUGUACAGUUGUUGGUGUCAUUAAAUCAGAUGGUGUGUAAGUGUAUUUUGUAAAAACUGUAAAGGAGGUUGUGGCUGUAGGGGCUGACGGUUCUCAUGAAUAUUACUGCUCUUCUUUCCAACAGUUAAAAGAAUAUUGGCAGAAAAACAGACCUAGAGUUCCAGCAGGAGUGAACAGGAACAGGAAAACAAAUGGCAGUAUCCCUGAGACAGCCACUUCCGGUGGUUGCCAGCCACCUGGGGAUGUGAGUCUUGGCUGACCAGGCUUCUGGGGACAGGGGGCCCAAGGGGCAAUAGAGGGUAAUUCUUAAGAUUGUGGAUGGACUGCUGGGUACUGGUUAAGAAUUCUGGCUUUAGCCGGGUGUGGUGGCCCACGCCUGUAAUCCUAGCACAUUGGGAGGCCAAGACAGGCGGAUCAUGAGGUCAGGAGAUCGAGACCAUCCUGGUUAACACGGUGAAACCCUGUCUCUACUAAAAAUACAAAAACAUUAGCCACGCGUGGUGGCGUGUGCCUGUAGUCCCAGCUACUCAGAAGGCUGAGGCAAGAGAAUGGUGUGAACCUGGGAGGUGGAGCUUGCAGUGGCCAAGAUUAUGCCACCGCACUCCAGCCUGGUGACAGAGCAAGACUCUGUCUCAAAAAAAAAAAAAGGAAUUCUGGGUUUGAAUCCUGCCUCUCCAUCUGCUCUGCUAGGGAUAUGAUUUAGGGCAAGUUGCUAGACCUCAUUGGGCCUCUCUUUUCACAUCUGUAUAAUAGAGGUGUUAUUGUUUCACUUCCAUUUGUGAAGUUUAAAUGAGAUUUGUUAUUGUUGUUUUUAUGUUAAUCCCUAGUACAUGGCCUGCUGUAAACACUCAGGACACCCAGGAUAUGGUUUGAUUUUCCUCAUCCCCAGUCUCAAGGGGAAACCAGGACAAAGAGAACAGCCACUUGCCAUCAGGAGUCACUGAAGGGGCCCCAGGAUGGGAUGGUGGGGAGAUAAGAACCAUGAGAGAAGUUGGCACAAAGGAGUUAUGGGACAAAAGGUCCAAGAUAGGCAGAAAAGAAAAUGUUGCAGUUGAUGGGGAAGAAAGGAAGUCAGAGGGCUCAGACACUGUGGGGGACAGAACAUCUCCAUGUGCACUCUCAUCUCUUGUAGUCAGCAACAGGUUUCCACAGGGAAGGCCCUACAUCAUCUGCUACCCUGAAAGAUCUGGAGGUAAGAGGCUCUGGGUGGAGGUGCAGUGACCCUUCGGGUCAACCCUCCAACCUCCUCCUCCAGGUGGGACUGGGUGCCCCUCUGCCAGCUGAGACAGCCCACACACCCCAGCCCUAACGAUCGUUCUCUCUACCUCUCUCCCCACUCCUGCUCCACCUCCUCCUCUCUGCAUGCACCUCAGAGCCCGUGCCAAGAACGAGCAGUAGUCCUGGAUUCAACGUCCGUAAAAAUCAGUCGACUGAAGAACACCAUCAAAUCUUUGGUAAGAGUCCGGUGGGGUCCCCUGAUUCCACGCUGCCAAUCCUGGGCUCCAGUUUCCCCUUGGGGCCCUGAAGAAAGGGGCUGGGGGUCCCUGGUGCCCGGGACAAAUAGGGAGCUUGGGUGCCCAGGCCUCACCUGGAGGGACCCCAGAGCAUGCAGCAUGGCUCUUCUUUUGCUGCCCUCUUUGCCGACUCUCUCCUCUCCAGACACCCCUGCUCGAGUCCUUGCUACACACGCCCUGGGGUUGUUGCCUCUUGGGGAAGUGCUAGCCUGACUGGUUGUCAAGGGCCCCGUAUUUCUGCCAUGACUCAGUCCCUAAUUUGCUCUUUGAUUCUGGACAAGCCACCUCUCCUUUUUGGGCUCGUGUUUCCAGAGGAGGUAGUGAGUAUCAAAGGUCUCUGUUAGCUCUCGAGUCUGAGAUUUAAAGGCCCCCGGGAAUGGAAACCUCAGGGCUAAGGGCUCCUGUCUGUCCUUUUCCAUCCUAUAUCUGCUGUGAAGAACCGUACCUGGCCCAUACGUGCUCAGUAAGUGUUUAUUGAAUGAACCCACUUUUCUAAAUCACAAGCUGCCAGAAGGAGGGGCCUUUCUGAAACUCCAUCUCUAGAGGUUUAUGUUGCUGUCCUCUCAAGAGAUUCCAGAUUCAGACUGAGUUCUGUGGCUGUGGGCAAAAGCCAACAAAGACCCAAAUCCUCUGUCCUUGGGAGCUUGAGGAGAGUUUACCGGUUCGUGUUCCCAUUAUGUCUGAGAACUUUGCCUUUAAAAUCCAUUCCUGGCCCCUGCCUACCGCUUCCUGAUCUGGGGAAUAGAGUUGAGGGGGCCACCCUCCAUCACCUUAUUUGACUCUCCCCACAGAAACAACAGAAGAAACAAGUGGAACAUCAGCUGGAAGAAGUAACGUGAUUUCGUUUCCUCGCGACAUGACUGCUGGGUUUGGGGGGCACUCAGACAUAGAGGCCCCAGUCUCGUCUCACCCACUCCCAGCCUGGGGAAGAAGGCUCACCCCUCAGAUUCCACCCCAUCCCCACAGGGCCCCUGAUAACCUGGUCCCAUGGGUGGGCCUGUCCUGGGGCAUUGGUGGCAUUCUGGGGGCAUGUCUCUUGCUGUGCCAUCUCUGCCUCCCCCUGGUAAGAGCUCUGUCUUCCUCUUCCUACAGGAAAAGAAAGCAAACAACGAGAGACAGAAAGCCGAAAGGGUGCUAGAGGUGAGUGGAGGGUGUGCAGUUUCCUCCUGUCCUCCGGAGAAUGUUUCUUUCCUUCUCUUUCAGCACUUGCUUGGCUUUUCUCCCAAAGGUUCAAAUCCAGACAUUGAUCAUACAGAAAGAGGAACUAAAUACGGACCUGUACCACAUGGAACGUUCUCUCAGAUACUUUGAAGGUGGGAAUCUGGGCACCCUGUCAUCCUUCAACCUGGCACUUUGACAGGUCUUCAGGGGGAGUCCUUUGGGCCCCAUCUCAACUCUCUCAUUACAGAAGAGUCCAAGGACCUGGCUGUCCGCCUGCAACAUUCAUUGCAGUGUAAAGGAGAGUUAGAGAGGGCUCUGUCUGCUGUCAUCGCCACAGAG
rnacentral:lncRNA from 1 species